GGAUUAGAUGACCUUUAGAGGCCUGUUCCAACCCAAACUAUUCUAUUAUUCUAUGAUUUUCUCUUGAAGAAACAUCUGGAAAUUGUUUUAGUUAAUUUCUUGAGCACUCACCAAACUGAUAACUGGAACAACUAGGACAUCUACCCUGGACAUGUUCUGUGCUCCAUAUCGUGGACUGCGAUCCAAGCCAGGAUCCAGCAGGGACGAUGCUGUGCUUUUGGAAUAGGUUGACUUUAACUCUGAAACACUAACUUGUGUGCUAGUGUUCCCAUGUGUUAGUGCAUUAUCUCAUGUUAUGUUGCAGGAUAGAAUUGCUCACACACCAUAGCGCAUACUGUCAGCAUCUGAGCAGGAAGUUUUUCAAACACGCCAAUCACCGCUGGAACACAUUACAGUGAAGCUCCGUGAGCAUGUCAUCCUGAAAGAGAAAGAGUGGGAUCAAGAAGCACUGAGAAGAUCCAAGAAAUUGGAUUCAGCCGUUCAUGCACAUGUUUCAAAGAAGAAAGGAGGGAGCCAGCAUGUGGAAGAAAUGAGAUUACCUUUCUUUAUAUACUGCUAUCGGUGUGGACGUUCAGUUGGUGUUCAGCUCUCAGCUUGCCAGCAUUGUCAUGAAGUCUUCACUUGCAGUGAUACUUGCAAAAAGAAAUCCUGAAAUGAGUGUCAUAGGCAGAGGUGUUUGGGAUUGCUGAGUAAGUCUUCCCGUCGU